UGUGGUGGUAAACCUUGGUAGAGCAUAGGUCAAGUAGGCAGUGUGGUGGUAAACCAUGGUAGAGCAUAGGUCAAGUAGGCAGUGUGGUGGUAAACCAUGGUAGAGCAUAGGUCAAGUAGGCAGUGUGGUGGUAAACCAUGGUAGAGCAUAGGUCAAGUAGGCAGUGUGGUGGUAAACCAUGGUAGAGCAUAGGUCAAGUAGGCAGUGUGGUGGUAAACCAUGGUAGAGCAUAGGUCAAGUAGGCAGUGUGGUGGUAAACCAUGGUAGAGCAUAGGUCAAGUAGGCAGUGUGGUGGUAAACCAUGGUAGAGCAUAGGUCAAGUAGGCAGUGUGGUGGUAAACCAUGGUAGAGCAUAGGUCAAGUAGGCAGUGUGGUGGUAAACCAUGGUAGAGCAUAGGUCAAGUAGGCAGUGUGGUGGUAAACCAUGGUAGAGCAUAGGUCAAGUAGGCAGUGUGGUGGUAAACCAUGGUAGAGCAUAGGUCAAGUAGGCAGUGUGGUGGUAAACCAUGGUAG